UUCCUCCUGAAUUUUAUGAAUUCAUGUUUCUUCCGUUUUGGUUUCUCCGUCCCGUGCAUCAACCCCUGCUUCCAAACCUCCAUCUUUUUCGUUUCUUCAGCGGGCGAAACGACAUCCUUCGGAUUCUCCCGUUUGAUCUCAUGCUGAAAGCAGCAUCGUUCAUGGUGCCAAAACCAUUCUAUUCGUUCAUUGCAUUGUCACAGAAGCUCGGAGAAAGGACUUCUCGGAAACCCCAGAUCAAAUCCUCCUCCCAAAUCGGGCCCAAGAAACAACCGAAUCAAUCCACAUAGAGAAACCCCAAAUCCAAAAAUGGUUUCGCGGUUUCUUUUGGAAAGCGGCUAGAGUAGGU